rfam:Aspergillus flavus AF70 198, whole genome shotgun sequence.
ACAUACGACCAUAGGGUGUGGAGAACAGGGCUUCCCGUCCGCUCAGCCGUACUUAAGCCACACGCCGGGAGGUUAGUAGUUGGGUGGGUGACCACCAGC